AAUUACUGUUUAGCAAUAUUCUUUCCCUCCAUUUAGUUUCCAUACGAGGAAUGUAUGUCCACUUCAUGACUUUGGGAUUCAUCCUGUGACCUGCUUUGACCAACAGAGUGAGUCACAAGUGGCAGUGCACCGCUGAGACUAGGCUUAAGAGACCCUGCGUGUUGCUGCUUGCUCUCUCCCACUUCUGCCACCACCAUGAUGUACACACUCCGCCUGGCCUGCUGCCUCCAAAAGGAAAACAAGAGCCGGGAUCACCUGACCUCCAGCUAAUCAACAAAUGGAUGCAGAAGCCCAGCUGAGAUCAGCAGGGUCUCCAGCAGACAGGAACUGCAGUAGAAACUGGUACAUAGUGUCGGGUGGAGUUUCCUGAUUGUGGCAGGAGUGGCCAAGGCCUGAUGGGUCCUCUCUGCAGUGGUUGGGAGUCAGUCCUCCAGGCCCACUUGGAGCGUCCUCUGCUGCCUUGCCCAGAUUGGCCCUCAACGGGGGACUGAGCUUUGAUCACUGAAUGGGAGUAGACCUUCUGAUUGAGCUGUAUUUGAAGACUCAAGGUUGAUGGAGAAGCACUGUUAUAAGACCUGGAGAGAUGUUUGGUUGCUAUUCUCAAAGAGGUGAGGUAGGUGUUAUCUCCCCCUUUGGCAGACGAGGAACCUAACGCACUGGAAAUUUAAAUGAUUUGCCCAAAGUCACAUAGGACUAGUGUCCUUAUGAGAAGAGGAGGAGAUUAUAGGGAUACACGUGCACAGAGGAAAGGCCAUGUGAGAACACAGCGAGAAGGCAGCCAUCUGUAAGCCAAGCAGAGAGGCCUCAGGAGAAAUCAACUCUGCCACCCCCUUGAUCUUGGACUUGCAGCCUGCAGAACUCAAGGUGAAGCAGAAUCAGCACAAUCUCUCAGCGUCAUAACCGGACAUGGGGUUGACCAUUCUAACACCAGCCGUAAUCACCUACAGGGCACUUUCAGGGCCCUCUGUGCGAUGAACUGGACCUGGCAGCGUUGGCUGUUGCACAUGGUUGGGUACACAGACUGAUGCCAUGAAAGCAACUGCCAACAAAUCACUUUAAGUUGUCAGGAGCAAUACAAAAGAAGAAGGAAAAAUCAGCGAUGCCUGAUUUCUUUUUCCUAAUAUUUUCUUAU